CGCUGGCGGCGUGCCUAACACAUGCAAGUCGAGGGGUGAUUUCGGUCAUCACUGGCGCACGGGUGAGUAACGCGUAGAUCAUCUCGCCCCUAUCACUGACAUAACAGUUCUAAACGGACUGCUAAUAUCAGAUGAGGUGAGCAAUCAUCAAAGUUUCGACCGGAUAGGGAUGAGUCUGCGUCUGAUUAGGUAGUUGGUGAGGUAACGGCUCACCAAGCCGACGAUCAGUAACUGGUCUGAGAGGACGAACAGUCACACUGGAACUGAGACACGGUCCAGACUCCUACGGGAGGCAGCAGUGAGGAAUAUUGCACAAUGGGAGGAAUCCUGAUGCAGCGACGCCGCGUGGCGGGAUGGAAGGGCUUAGCCUACGUAAACCGCUGUCGGAGGGGACGAAUGGUACAUUUGAUGUACUGAGACGGUACCCUCAAAGGAAGGAUCGGCUAACUACGUG
rnacentral:rRNA from 1 species